AUGAACGCUGGCGGCGUGCCUAAUACAUGCAAGUCGAGCGAACAGACGAGGAGCUUGCUCCUCUGACGUUAGCGGCGGACGGGUGAGUAACACGUGUAUAACCUACCUAUAAGACUGGGAUAACUUCGGGAAACCGGAGCUAAUACCGGAUAAUAUAUUGAACCGCAUGUUUCAAUAGUGAAAGACGGUUUUGCUGUCACUUAUAGAUGGAUCCGCGCCGCAUUAGCUAGUUGGUAAGGUAACGGCUUACCAAGGCAACGAUGCGUAGCCGACCUGAGAGGGUGAUCGGCCACACUGGAACUGAGACACGGUCCAGACUCCUACGGGAGGCAGCAGUAGGGAAUCUUCCGCAAAGGGCGAAAGCCUGACGGAGCAACGCCGCGUGAGUGAUGAAGGUCUUCGGAUCGUAAAACUCUGUUAUUAGGGAAGAACAAAUGUGUAAGUAACUAUGCACGUCUUGACGGUACCUAAUCAGAAAGCCACGGCUAACUACGUG
rnacentral:rRNA from 1 species